UAAUCAUUUUUGCUGAAGCGGGGCGGCAGACUUUAUAGCCUGGGGAGCUAAUUAUGUUACAAAUAAAAGGGCUAUAUUCAUACAACACAUCUACUCCUAGUUUACGUAGUGGUCCCAAUUUAUUAGGUUUAUCCAACGCGCUAAACCAUAAGAUAAGAAUGGAAUUGUUGGCUGAGAAUGGAAUUGUUUGCGACUAAAAAGUGAUGAGUUUGUGGUUUUGUGUGCUGAGCAAACGCAGCCAAAAUAUAUUAGGUGGCUAUUCAACUAUUUCGUUCAGGGGCCGUCCAAAUACUGGAAGGAAACUUAUAAGCAUACAUUGAAGGCUUCUUUCAUUAUUUCUGUGCUCCCCCUAUCUUCAGUCUACAAACUUCUUGUGUCAAGCCAAGGUAUAUUGUAACACCAAGAACAUGGAAAAUGGAAACAGACAUUAAAACAAGGAGCCUUGGUGGCGCAGAUUAAAGCAUUGUUAAGUAACACCAGCUGCCUGCAAUUACUGCAAAUUCAAAUCUCACCAGGCUCAGCAUUGACUCAGCCUUCCAUCCUUUUGAGCUACAGACCCUAAGUUCUUAGGAUUUCUGAUUUUCCAGUUGCAAAUGUUCAUGUUUCCAAAACCAAAACUGAUAUCCAGUAGAAGCAAAGUCUAAGGAGGUUUAUGAGAACAAAAACUUCUGUAGAAAUGGGCAUAUUUUAACAAAAAUAAAGCAAUUCCUGGACAGGGCCUCAAAACAGUUCUACAAAAGAAGAAUUUGUUCAAUGGACAUGAAAUGCUCAAUGGCUGUUUGAGCAAAAUGAAGACUAUAAAGAAACUAGAAUCCUAAAAAAGAAGCAUUUCACACUGCAACAUUUUAAUGCAAACUUUAUUUAUUUUGCUCUACCCUGAUUUCUACUUCUAUUACUAUUGGAAUAGAAAAAAAAAUGAAAGUAUGAUAAAAUGCUUGUCUUCAUUCAGAUUCUGUACACAUAAACCAUUAUCAGUGGAAGUAAGAACCAUCAGAACCUUAAAUGAGCUUUGGGGCCAUCUGAAGGCUGGAUACACAGAUGUCCUAUAUCAGUGAUGGCUAACCUUUUUGCCAUCGUGUACCAGGAGUGGGGGGGAAGUCGCGCGUGCGCCCACAUCCAUAAUUCUAUGCGCCCCACGCAUGUGCGCAUGACCCUCCCCAUGCUCCUGGCACGCAAUAGCAUGGUAGGCCCAUUUUUUGCUCUCCCCAGCUUCCAGAGCCUUUCUAGGAGUCUGGGGAGAGUGAAAACGUUUGCCAAUGUCCGGUGGAACUUCCGAUAUGGCUACGCAUGCCACAGAUUUGCCAUCACGGUCCUAUACUGAACUUAUACAAUAUAACCAGAAAUUAAGUUCAGAACACUCUGCUCUGCUGGUGCAUGGUACAAUAUUUCAAAGUGAUGUCCAAAUAGUGAGAACUCCCACUCAACAAAUGAACUAUAGCGAACUAGUGACUAUUCACAAGUAUAAAAUAUAAGGUAAUUUCCCCCCCCACCCCUUUUUGAUUGUUUUCAUCUUCUACUGUACAUUUGUGCCAGUUACUUGACUACACCAUCCUGAUCUAUACAAAGUCUAUGAAUCCUCAGGACCUGUUACUUAAUUCUAAGACAUUCUUCUUGAGACUCAUGAUUUUGGUUGCUUAUUCAAUGUUAGAUCUGAAUCUGUAUGUGUACAGUCUAGCUCUCCUUUCCCAAUCUUCUACCAAAUUUUCUUUCCAGCACAUUUUCUUCUCUUUCCAAACCAACAGAGUAUUCAAACACAAUUAUGUACAUGGGUUAGGACUCUGUCCGUCUGACUAUCCAUUAGCAUGACAACAGUCUAGAAACUAAGUAGAACAGGAUCAAAUUUGGUGUGAAGAACUGAACAAGAGAAAGAUCAAGUUCAAAAUAGACUGGAUCAGACAAGGAACAGCAGCAUAAAAAAAAAAAAUCCACAAAAUUCCCCCAAAUGCAUUCCUUAGGGAAGAGGCAAUUUGGAGCUGUUCAGCAUA